rnacentral:rRNA from 1 species
GAUGAACGCUGGCGGCGUGCCUAAUACAUGCAAGUCGAGCGAACGGACGAGAAGCUUGCUUCUCUGAUGUUAGCGGCGGACGGGUGAGUAACACGUGGAUAACCUACCUAUAAGACUGGGAUAACUUCGGGAAACCGGAGCUAAUACCGGAUAAUAUUUUGAACCGCAUGGUUCAAAAGUGAAAGACGGUCUUGCUGUCACUUAUAGAUGGAUCCGCGCUGCAUUAGCUAGUUGGUAAGGUAACGGCUUACCAAGGCAACGAUGCAUAGCCGACCUGAGAGGGUGAUCGGCCACACUGGAACUGAGACACGGUCCAGACUCCUACGGGAGGCAGCAGUAGGGAAUCUUCCGCAAUGGGCGAAAGCCUGACGGAGCAACGCCGCGUGAGUGAUGAAGGUCUUCGGAUCGUAAAACUCUGUUAUUAGGGAAGAACAUAUGUGUAAGUAACUGUGCACAUCUUGACGGUACCUAAUCAGAAAGCCACGGCUAACUACGUGCCAGCAGCCGCGGUAAUACGUAGGUGGCAAGCGUUAUCCGGAAUUAUUGGGCGUAAAGCGCGCGUAGGCGGUUUUUUAAGUCUGAUGUGAAAGCCCACGGCUCAACCGUGGAGGGUCAUUGGAAACUGGAAAACUUGAGUGCAGAAGAGGAAAGUGGAAUUCCAUGUGUAGCGGUGAAAUGCGCAGAGACAUGGAGGAACACCAGUGGCGAAGGCGACUUUCUGGUCUGUAACUGACGCUGAUGUGCGAAAGCGUGGGGAUCAAACAGGAUUAGAUACCCUGGUAGUCCACGCCGUAAACGAUGAGUGCUAAGUGUUAGGGGGUUUCCGCCCCUUAGUGCUGCAGCUAACGCAUUAAGCACUCCGCCUGGGGAGUACGACCGCAAGGUUGAAACUCAAAGGAAUUGACGGGGACCCGCACAAGCGGUGGAGCAUGUGGUUUAAUUCGGAGCAACGCGAAGAACCUUACCAAAUCUUGACAUCCUUUGACAACUCUAGAGAUAGAGCUUUCCCCUUCGGGGGACAAAGUGACAGGUGGUGCAUGGUUGUCGUCAGCUCGUGUCGUGAGAUGUUGGGUUAAGUCCCGCAACGAGCGCAACCCUUAAGCUUAGUUGCCAUCAUUAAGUUGGGCACUCUAAGUUGACUGCCGGUGACAAACCGGAGGAAGGUGGGGAUGACGUCAAAUCAUCAUGCCCCUUAUGAUUUGGGCUACACACGUGCUACAAUGGACAAUACAAAGGGCAGCGAAACCGCGAGGUCAAGCAAAUCCCAUAAAGUUGUUCUCAGUUCGGAUUGUAGUCUGCAACUCGACUACAUGAAGCUGGAAUCGCUAGUAAUCGUAGAUCAGCAUGCUACGGUGAAUACGUUCCCG